rnacentral:rRNA from 1 species
GACGAACGCUGGCGGCAUGCUUAACACAUGCAAGUCGAACGGAAAGGCCCUGCUUUUGUGGGGUGCUCGAGUGGCGAACGGGUGAGUAACACGUGAGUAACCUGCCCUUGACUUUGGGAUAACUUCAGGAAACUGGGGCUAAUACCGGAUAGGAGCUCCUGCUGCAUGGUGGGGGUUGGAAAGUUUCGGCGGUUGGGGAUGGACUCGCGGCUUAUCAGCUUGUUGGUGGGGUAGUGGCUUACCAAGGCUUUGACGGGUAGCCGGCCUGGGAGGGUGACCGGCCACAUUGGGACUGAGAUACGGCCCAGACUCCUACGGGAGGCAGCAGUGGGGAAUAUUGCACAAUGGGCGGAAGCCUGAUGCAGCAACGCCGCGUGCGGGAUGACGGCCUUCGGGUUGUAAACCGCUUUCGCCUGUGACGAAGCGUGAGUGACGGUAAUGGGUAAAGAAGCACCGGCUAACUACGUG